rnacentral:rRNA from 1 species
UGGCUACAGAACGAACGCUGGCGGCAUGCCUAACACAUGCAAGUCGAACGAACCCUUCGGGGUUAGUGGCGCACGGGUGCGUAACGCGUGGGAACCUGCCUUUAGGUUCGGAAUAACAGUUAGAAAUGACUGCUAAUACCGGAUGAUGUCUUCGGACCAAAGAUUUAUCGCCUUUAGAUGGGCCCGCGUUGGAUUAGCUAGUUGGUGGGGUAAAGGCCUACCAAGGCGACGAUCCAUAGCUGGUCUGAGAGGAUGAUCAGCCACACUGGGACUGAGACACGGCCCAGACUCCUACGGGAGGCAGCAGUGGGGAAUAUUGGACAAUGGGCGAAAGCCUGAUCCAGCAAUGCCGCGUGAGUGAUGAAGGCCUUAGGGUUGUAAAGCUCUUUUACCAGGGAUGAUAAUGACAGUACCUGGAGAAUAAGCUCCGGCUAACUCCGUG